rnacentral:rRNA from 1 species
AUUGAACGCUGGCGGCAGGCCUAACACAUGCAAGUCGAGCGGUAGCACAGAGAGCUUGCUCUCGGGUGACGAGCGGCGGACGGGUGAGUAAUGUCUGGGAAACUGCCUGAUGGAGGGGGAUAACUACUGGAAACGGUAGCUAAUACCGCAUAACGUCGCAAGACCAAAGUGGGGGACCUUCGGGCCUCAUGCCAUCAGAUGUGCCCAGAUGGGAUUAGCUAGUAGGUGGGGUAAUGGCUCACCUAGGCGACGAUCCCUAGCUGGUCUGAGAGGAUGACCAGCCACACUGGAACUGAGACACGGUCCAGACUCCUACGGGAGGCAGCAGUGGGGAAUAUUGCACAAUGGGCGCAAGCCUGAUGCAGCCAUGCCGCGUGUAUGAAGAAGGCCUUCGGGUUGUAAAGUACUUUCAGCGGGGAGGAAGGCGGUGAGGUUAAUAACCUCGCCGUUUGACGUUACCCGCAGAAGAAGCACCGGCUAACUCCGUGCCAGCCGCCGCCGUAA